GGGAGGACCACCUCCCAAGGCUAAAUACUACCUGAUGACCGAUAGUGAAGCAGUACCGUGAGGGAAAGGUGAAAAGAACCCCGGGAGGGGAGUGAAAUAGAACCUGAAACCGUGUGCCUACAACCGCUCAGAGCCCCUUAUGAGGGUGAUGAGGUGCUUUUUGUAGAACGAGCCAACGAGUUACGGUAUGUAGCAAGGUUAAGUACUUAAGGUACGGAGCCGAAGGGAAACCGAGUCUGAAUAGGGCGACUAGUUGCAUGCCGUAGACCCGAAACCGGGUGACCUAUCCAUGGCCAGGUUGAAGCGAGGGUAAAACCUCGUGGAGGACCGAACCACGUUGCUGUUGAAAAAGCAUGGGAUGAGCUGUGGAUAGCGGAGAAAUUCCAAUCGAACCCGGAGAUAGCUGGUUCUCUCCGAAAUAGCUUUAGGGCUAGCGUCGAGUAUGAGUAGUGGAGGUAGAGCACUGAAUGGGCUAGGGGGCAUAGCGCUUACCGAACCUUAUCAAACUCCGAAUGCCACAUACUUUGAGCUCGGCAGUCAGACUACGAAUGAUAAGAUCCGUGGUCAAAAGGGAAACAGCCCAGAUCGUCAGCUAAGGUCCCAAAGUGUAAGUUAAGUGGGAAAGGAUGUGAGAUUUCUAAGACAACUAGGAUGUUGGCUUAGAAGCAGCCAUUCAUUAAAAGAGUGCGUAAUAGCUCACUAGUCGAGAGAUCUUGCGCCGAAAAUGUAACGGGGCUAAACUUACCACCGAAGCUACGGGCUUGAACUUA
rnacentral:rRNA from 1 species